rnacentral:rRNA from 1 species
UACGUAGGUGGCGAGCGUUGUCCGGAUUUACUGGGCGUAAAGAGCGCGCAGGCGGUCAAGUCAGUCGAAUGUGAAAGCCCCCGGCUCAACUGGGGAGGGUCAUUCGAUACUGCUCGACUUGAAGGCAGGAGAGGGAAGUGGAAUUCCCGGUGUAGUGGUGAAAUGCGUAGAUAUCGGGAGGAACACCAGUGGCGAAGGCGACUUUCUGGACUGUUCUUGACGCUGAGGCGCGAAAGCUAGGGGAGCAAACGGG